rnacentral:rRNA from 1 species
CUACGGGUGGCUGCAGUGGGGAAUUUUGCGCAAUGGGCGAAAGCCUGACGCAGCGACGCCGCGUGAGGGAAGAAGGCCUUCGGGUCGUAAACCUCUGUCAGGGGGGAAGAAAACCGUUCGGUUAAUAUCCGCUCGGUCUGACGGUACCCCCAAAGGAAGCAUCGGCUAACUACGUGCCAGCAGCCGCGGUAAUACGUAGGAUGCAAGCGUUGCUCGGAAUCACUGGGUGUAAAGAGCGCGUAGGUGGCCAGUUAAGUCAGUGGUGAAAGCCCUCGGCUCAACCGAGGAACUGCCCCUGAAACUAGCUGGCUUGAGUACUGGAGAGGAAAGCGGAAUUCCUGGUGUAGCGGUGAAAUGCGUAGAUAUCAGGAGGAACACCGGUGGCGAAGGCGGCUUUCUGGACAGAUACUGACACUGAGGCGCGAAAGCGUGGGUAGCAAACAGGAUUAGAUACCCUCGUAGUC